UACGUAGGGGGCGAGCGUUGUCCGGAUUUAUUGGGCGUAAAGGGCGCGUAGGUGGUUCUGUAUGUCUAUCGUGAAAGCAUACAGCUCAACUGUAUUUUGUCGGUAGAAACUGCAGGACUUGAGGCUGGGAGGGGCUGGUGGAAUUCCCUGUGUAGCGGUGAAAUGCGUAGAGAUGGGGGAGAACACUCGUGGCGAAGGCGGCCAGCUAGACCAGUUCUGACACUGAGGCGCGACAGCGUGGGGAGCAAACAGG
rnacentral:rRNA from 1 species